GACGAACGCUGGCGGCGUGCUUAACGCAUGCAAGUCGAACGGUGAAAGCGGAGCUUGCUCCGCUGGAUCAGUGGCGAACGGGUGAGUAACACGUGGGCAACCUGCCCCUCACUUCGGGAUAACUCCGGGAAACCGGGGCUAAUACCGGAUAUGACCUCCUUGGGCAUCCUUGGAGGUGGAAAGUUUUUCGGUGAGGGAUGGGCCCGCGGCCUAUCAGCUUGUUGGUGCGGUAGUGGCUAACCAAGGCGACGAAGGGUAGCCGGCAUGAGAGGGCGACCGGCCACACUGGGACUGAGACACGGCCCAGACUCCUACGGGAGGCAGCAGUAGGGAAUCUUCCGCAAUGGACGAAAGUCUGACGGAGCAACGCCGCGUGAGUGAUGAAGGCUUUCGGGUCGUAAAACUCUGUUGUUAGGGAAGAACAAGUGCUAGUUGAAUAAGCUGGCACCUUGACGGUACCUAACCAGAAAGCCACGGCUAACUACGUGCCAGCAGCCGCCGUAA
rnacentral:rRNA from 1 species